GGCCACAUCAUGUUGAAACACCAACUCUCAUAUGAUCACCGAAGUUAAGCAAUGUUGAGCUUGGUCAGUACCUAGAUGGGUGACUGCUUGGAAAUACCAGAUGCUGUAAG